rnacentral:rRNA from 1 species
CGGGCGACGCGCCGGUCUAAGUCCCCUGGAACGGGGCGUCAUAGAGGGUGAGAAUCCCGUACGCGACCGGUGACUGAGCCUAUGUGAAACUCCUUCGACGAGUCGAGUUGUUUGGGAAUGCAGCUCAAAAUGGGUGGUAAAUUUCAUCUAAAGCUAAAUACCGGCUAGAGACCGAUAGCGCACAAGUAGAGUGAUCGAAAGAUGAAAAGCACUUUGGAAAGAGAGUCAAAAAGUACGUGAAAUUGUUGAAAGGGAAGCGCUUGCAACCAGACCUGCCCGUAGGUGAUCAACCGUCCUUCUGGGCGGUGCACUCGCCCGCGAUCAGGCCAGCAUCGGUUCGGGCGGCCGGAUAAAGGCCUUGGGAACGUAGCUCCUCUCGGGGAGUGUUAUAGCCCUCGGUGCAAUGCGGCCAGCCUGGACCGAGGACCGCGCUUCGGCUAGGAUGCUGGCGUAAUGGUUGUAAGCGGCCCGUCUUGAAACACGGACCAAGGAGUCUAACAUCUAUGCGAGUGUUUGGGUGUCAAACCCAUACGCGUAAUGAAAGUGAACGGAGGUGGGAACCCUUCGCGGGGCGCACCAUCGACCGAUCCAGAUGUCUUCGGAUGGAUUUGAGUACGAGCAUAACUGUUGGGACCCGAAAGAUGGUGAACUAUGCCUGAAUAGGGUGAAGCCAGAGGAAACUCUGGUGGAG